UACGUAGGGUGCAAGCGUUAAUCGGAAUUACUGGGCGUAAAGCGUGCGCAGGCGGCUAUGCAAGACAGAUGUGAAAUCCCCGGGCUCAACCUGGGACUGCAUUUGUGACUGCAUAGCUAGGAGUGUGGCAGAGGGGGGUGGAAUCCACGUGUAGCAGUGAAAUGCGUAGAGAUGUGGAGGAACACCGGAUGGCGGAAGGCAGCCCCCUGGGUUAAC
rnacentral:rRNA from 1 species